UACGUAGGGUGCGAGCGUUUAAUCGGAAUUACUGGGCGUAAAGCGUGCGCAGGCGGUUUUGUAAGUCUGUCGUGAAAGCCCCGGGCUCAACCUGGGAAUGGCGAUGGAGACUGCAAGGCUUGAAUCUGGCAGAGGGGGGUAGAAUUCCACGUGUAGCAGGUGAAAUGCGUAGAGAUGUGGAGGAACACCGAUGGCGAAGGCAGCCCCCUGGGUCAAGAUUGACGCUCAUGCACGAAAGCGUGGGGAGCAAACAGG
rnacentral:rRNA from 1 species